UUUAUAUUUUAUUAUUUGCUUAUAUUAUAUAUAAAAUGAUUUUCUUUUAGAUCAAAUUAGAGUAGAAACAUAAAGAAUUAAGUUCUCUUCAUCACGCUUGAAAUCACUUGCGAUCUGGCGAAAGACGGAAUACGAUUUUUCCUUCUUUAGUUUCAGUACCUUAGUGUUGAACGACAUAUCGUCCUCCAUUUUCUUCUUUAAUAAUAGAGUUUUUUGCCUUAAUAAUUGUUGGACGGUCUCUUGAAAGCGUCUUUCAUUUUGAAUUUGCUUCUAGAAUUCUUUAUAAAUUAUAUCUUAAAGAAUUUUAUAUGAUAAUAUAGAAAGUAAUAAAAAAAAAUGAUUUUGAUACACGAUUUAACACCUCUCAAUUCGUAAGUUCCUGAAUUGUAAAAAAAGUUUAAGCUGUUUCAUUGAUGUGAAAAUGCAAUGAAUAUAACAUUUGUGAAAAUAUCAUACAAUAGGCUGCAGCUCAUAUAGGAUCAAGUUGAGGUGCAUAGCGGAUUUCACCGAAAUAUCGUCACCUUCUAAAUGUAAAAUGUUGGCCACCUCGCAGCAAUGUUCAACAUUUCUAACCCGUCACAAGCAUAUCCUUGGUGCCCAAGCAAGGCAAUUGCAACAAACGUUUGGCGGUACGUGUUCCAUAAAGUUAAGCUGGAAAGUGAUCGGUACGCCAAAAGAAUCUAUUGAUAUAGAACUCGGCGUUUUACGUUAUUUGCAAAUGUGUUAAAUGAACGUGGCGAAUACUCGGACAAACUUUUUUUGCCUAUUUCGUCUGUCAUCUUCCGACGUGGAUUGUUUAUUUACACCAUGUGGUGCGUGAAAAGGUCAUUAAUCAGUUCCUGGCUUUGCGACUGCCACGCAUGUGCAGCUAUUACUAGAUGUGCCGUAGACCUACUUUUGUAUUCAAUGAAAGAAUUAUGUUGGUCAUAGCCUAAUUGUAGGAUGCGAGAUACACAUUUUUAUAAUAUUUUCAUGGAGAUUAGAAAAAGUGUUUCAGAAAUAGGUACAAAACUCACGAUGUUGUGUGGAAAAUUCGAUAAAAUUAAAACGGUAUCCAAUGAAUAUCGCCACUCAUCUUCCCUUCGAAUACGUAAAAGAUCAAAUUGCAGCCUACCUUGCUAUACCUUUCUUCCGGUAUCGCAUAUAUCCGCCUACGUCAACCCCUUUCCUUAUUAGCAUUAACUUGCAUGAUAAGAUUAAUAAGUCGAGCAUCCCUUCUCGUAUGAUCUACGCUAAUGCAGCAAGGGCAUCUCCAAGUGAUAGUUACAUUCAGCGCAAGCAUCGGAAGGAUAUAAGCAAAAGUAAUAAAUGCUCUUCAAGUCCAUGUGGUCCAGCUGCAGAGGUGCCAAGUUGUACAAGCAAGAAAAUUCGCUGCCCUAUUUUUUUCAAUGCAAGAUGGUUAACGUACGAAUUAAAUGAAAAUGCCAUUUUGUCCACUUGUUGCAAGAGUUGUCCAGGAUACACUGUUGCAGCCCGAAUGGGAAGUUCUGUUACGCCAUGAGUACUUAUAAGGCACGGCGCCUUACAACUUGUUCAGAUCGAAGUAGCAUGACUUGGCUGGUACGCGGAUCCGCGCGUCUUGAGUCGGUGGGUAAAUCGCUGCCAAACCAAUAGAAGUUCUUUUGACACGAUAUCACCAUGUUGCCAGAAAUAUGGUAAAAUGUAGAAAAUGAUGGAAAAAUUUUGGUUAAUAUGUAUUGUACCAAUUUUUCUCAAUAAAUGCCUUUUCAAUGCCAAAAGUGGCCAAAAUACAACGAA